rnacentral:tRNA from 1 species
GCGCCCUUAGCUCAGUUGGAUAGAGCGACUGACUUCGAAUCAGUAGGUCGGGGGUUCGAGCCCCUCAGGGCGCG